GGUCCCAAAACACGUGGUCUAAAGUCCUUUGGGCUCCAGUUGCUGCCAGCACUGACAAUAUGCUCUUGACCCUGGGCGGGGUGGUCUGGAUACUUCCUCUAUGGAAAGCACUGGUCACAAAACCGCAGAGGUGACUCAGGCUGAGAACCCAGGCUCCUCUUUCCCUUGGUGACACGCCCCGCCCCUCGGUCCCUCACUGGCACUUCUCCCUCCGGCCACACGGCGGCGUCUCGCGAGAGUGCAGCGGCCGAUGGUACAGCUCGCUCCCCCCUCGCGCCCUCGGACAGUGGGUCCUUCCACUUCUAGAAAAGGAUUGUGGGACGGCAGGUCGGUCUUUCUUCAUUUUGGUGCGAGCUUGGUGUGGUUUUUGCGCUGGGUCUUCUGGGAUGGCGCUUGGCUGUGGCCGCGUGGUCUCUCACGCCGGGGCGCCGGGCAGGGGAACGCGGCCACCCUGAGUCUGGUGAGUCGACUGCGGCGGCCGGACCGUGUCCGAGGUGUCCGGGGCCGUGAACGCGUGAAGGGUAAGCGGCCUGGUCUCGCGCCUGCGUUCCCAAGCUUGGAAACGGGAAGCUGGUGGAUUUGUGUUUAGAUCAUCGACUAUGCCAGGGAGUUCUCCAGAUAAGCCUGGUUUUAUUUUCGUUAGUGAAAAGGCCUUACCUGACUUUAUGCCUGCCCUGCCCCCGGGUAAAAUAACUUAAAAGCAGAGGGCCUGGUGACGGCUGUUUCCAUAUGCGGUAUUCGGCGGCAGUGAUCACCUAACCUGCAGGUGGAAGAUGGAUGCCUGAAGUGUAGACUGCUGCUAGCUCAAUACCAUCUGGGAGCACAAAGGUGACCAGAAGGAUGUCCUUGGUGAAGAGUUUGAAAAUUUGGUCUUCACAAGAGUUGCUUGGCUCAUUUGAAAUUGCCGGGAGUCUGAGGAUUUCUGACAUAACUGCCUGUUGGAGUCUGUAAAUACACACUUAAGACAGUGAGGAUGUGAAUAAAUAUAUUAAUGCACUUUGA